rnacentral:rRNA from 1 species
ACAGGAUUAGAUACCCUGGUAGUCCACGCCGUAAACGAUGAUAACUAGCUGUCCGGGCUCAUAGAGCUUGGGUGGCGCAGCUAACGCAUUAAGUUAUCCGCCUGGGGAGUACGGUCGCAAGAUUAAAACUCAAAGGAAUUGACGGGGGCCUGCACAAGCGGUGGAGCAUGUGGUUUAAUUCGAAGCAACGCGCAGAACCUUACCAGCCUCUGACAUCCUAGGACGGUUUCUGGAGACAGACUCCUUCCCUUCGGGGACCUAGUGACAGGUGCUGCAUGGCUGUCGUCAGCUCGUGUCGUGAGAUGUUGGGUUAAGUCCCGCAACGAGCGCAACCCUCGUCCUUAGUUGCCAUCAUUUAGUUGGGCACUUUAAGGAAACUGCCGGUGAUAAGCCGGAGGAAGGUGGGGAUGACGUCAAGUCCUCAUGGCCCUUACAGGCUGGGCUACACACGUGCUACAAUGGCAUCUACAGUGAGCAGCGAUCCCGCGAGGGUUAGCUAAUCUCCAAAAGAUGUCUCAGUUCGGAUUGUUCUCUGCAACUCGAGAGCAUGAAGGCGGAAUCGCUAGUAAUCGCGGAUCAGUAUGCCGCGGUGAAUACGUUCCCAGGCCUUGUACACACCGCCCGUCACACCAUGGGAGUUGGAUUCACCCGAAGGUGGUGCGCUAACCCGCAAGGGAGGCAGCCAACCACGGUGGGUUCAGCGACUGGGGUGAAGUCGUAACAAGGUAACC